UACGUAGGGAGCAAGCGUUGUUCGGAAUGACUGGGCGUAAAGGGUGCGUAGGCGGUUGUACAAGUUAGAAGUGAAAUACCCAGGGCUUAACUCGGGUGCUGCUUCUAAAACUGUAUGACUUGAGUGCAGUAGAGGUUAGUGGAAUUCCUAGUGUAGCGGUGGAAUGCGUAGAUAUUACACAGAACACCGAUUGCGAAGGCAGCUUGCUAGGCCGGAUCUGACACUGAUGCACGGAAGCGUGGGGAUCGAACAGG
rnacentral:rRNA from 1 species